CGGUUUCGGGUACGCCAACAGACAGUCAAACGGACAGGGUUUCCCCUGUACCGCAGACAGAGUCUCCUUUGUACGUCAAUGCGUCACAAUCCAAACAAUGCAAUACACAAGGUUCCAACCAGGAACAGUAUUCAAACAAGAAUUGCAUAAGGAAGCAUCGAAAACAUAAAUACAAGCAUUCAUCUCAAAUUUUACAUAUUACAUGCAUCUUACAUUUUAGUCUUCCAAAUACAAUCCAAAUUAUUACAAAUUAUUACAAUCUUAUUCUUUCCAUUACUAAACCCCUAAGCUAAGCCGACUUAGGGUACCGCUAUCUCUGGUUUCGGUGGUAGGGCGCUAACUAUGGAGCUACACCCUCGCCUCGCGCCGCCGCGCCGCUCACGUGUGAACCUGUACCCCAAA
rnacentral:lncRNA from 1 species